rnacentral:lncRNA from 1 species
CAUGCAUGUUUCAAAUCUUCUGAAAGAAGCUGACCCCUUGGAGUGGGGACCUGAGGGGUCCUUACCAGGAAGAAGCGUGCCUGCUCGGCUGUGAGCCUCACGCUGGCCUCCGAGUCCAGGUGGAAGACAGCCAGGUGGUCCUGGGUAUCCCGGGCAGUGCCCCGGCACAGGGUGCUGUGGGGGGAGGGUGGUCAGCAGGUGGGGCAGCCCCAGGCGUGCCCUUACUCCAGCCCCACCGGCUCCCACUCACCUGUACAGGCAGGGGUGCAGGGAGAGCAGCCCCUGCUGGGGGGCCCGCUGUGGGGUGUGCACGGCCACGCCCACCUCCUGGCGGGCAUCCUCAUUGGCGUACUCCACCACUAGGGCGUAGCGGCCUGGCUGCGGCACUGCCACUUGAAGCUGGACACGCACAUCACUGCCCG